rnacentral:rRNA from 1 species
UGCCGCGUGUGGGAAGAAGGCCUUCGGGUUGUAAACCACUUUUGUCAGGGAAGAAACGGUUCUUACUAAUAUUAGGAACUAAUGACGGUACCUGAAGAAUAAGCACCGGCUAACUACGUGCCAGCAGCCGCGGUAAUACGUAGGGUGCAAGCGUUAAUCGGAAUUACUGGGCGUAAAGCGUGCGCAGGCGGCUUUGCAAGACAGAUGUGAAAUCCCCGGGCUCAACCUGGGAACUGCAUUUGUGACUGCAUGGCUAGAGUACGGUAGAGGGGGAUGGAAUUCCGCGUGUAGCAGUGAAAUGCGUAGAUAUGCGGAGGAACACCGAUGGCGAAGGCAAUCCCCUGGACCUGUACUGACGCUCAUGCACGAAAGCGUGGGGAGCAAACAGGAUUAGAUACCCUGGUAGUCCACGCCCUAAACGAUGUCAACUGGUUGUUGGACGGCUUGCUGUUCAAUAAGGAAGCUAA